rnacentral:lncRNA from 1 species
CUUCAAUUUUGUACCCUGUUACUAAAUUUUCUAGGUUUAUAAUAUCUUUUUCAAUACCUAGGGAUUUCAUUAAUGUCAUUAUUAUUUUUAGAAAGUCAUUAUUAUAUGAGCAAUUGACAAAAAAAUGUUCAUAGUCUUCCUUUUUUUUACAAUGCUUACAUAAGUUGUCUUCAGUAAUUUUCCACUUGUUUAAAAGUUCAUUACUUGGCAGUAUGUAGUGAAUAAGUUUCCAUCUAAAUAUUUUCAAUCUAUUAUCAGUUAGAUAUUGAAAAAUGAAAACAAAAGUAUUUUUCAAUUUAGAAUUUAAGUGCUUCUCAAAUAUUUUUUCCCACAUAAGAAAACCAUUUGGUUUAUCACAACUAUUUUUCAGUGUGAAUAUUUUAUAGAGUUCUUUUGUACUCAUCAAGGGAGUAAUUGUCCUGUGCAUAAUUUUUAAGUCGUUUAUAAAUUUAACUUUAGUUUUGAAUGAAUCUUCAGUGCAAAGAAUUGUUUUCCAAUCAAUUGGUAUUGCUUUUUUUAACAUAUAUAUUUGCCUUAUCCAAUUUUGUUUAUAUUUUAGUUUAGUUAAAAUGAUAGUUUCAGAGAUAUUGCCCUGUUCAUCAAUUACAUCAUUUAUAUUGAUAAUGUCACUUUUUAUCCAAUCUUCAAAGUUUAAACAUUUUCCAUUAAACCGGAUAUUAUCAUUUCCCCACAAAACUUGUUUUCUAAUUUCAAGAAAAUUUUUAGGAUAUUUUGUAUUACCUCCCUUUACACUUAUCCAAUCUUUAAUUAGUUGUUUAUAGAAGUCCGGUAAAUAUUGUAACUUAUUUUUAUCAAUGUCGUUUAUAUUCUUUAAAUUCAUUUUAAAUACAAGAAGAUUUUUUCCUAAUUUGUUGAAGUAAAAUUUGGGAAUAAUUGUCCAGUUGUCAUUUUUAUUUUCACUUAAUUUAAGAAUCCAGUUGAUAUGCAGUGAUUUUAUAUAAGCAUCAAUGUCUGUCAUUUUAAGUCCACCUUCCAGAAAAUCAUUUGAAAGUGUUGAUCUUUUUAUUCUAUCUCUUUUGCCUUUCCAAAUAAAAUUGUAUAUUAAAGUUUUAAAGUCUUGCAACAUUUCCUUAGGAAUAAUAGUGUUUGAUGCAACAUAUGUUAGGUUUGGCAAAACUAAAGAUUUGAUGACAACUAUUUUUCCUAUGAUAGUAAGAUUUCUUUUACUCCAAUCAGAUAUUAUUUUUUUACUUUUUAACAGUUGUUUUUCAAAGUUAAGUUUUUGACAUUCUUGUUU